GGAAUAUAAGAAACCGUCUCUUAACUUUUAACUAAAAAAGUUAAGAACCGGUUCUUAGUUCUUUUAGUUAAAAGUUAAGAGACGGUUUUUUAUAUUCU
rnacentral:pre_miRNA from 1 species